CACUCGGUUUGUUUCCAUUACAUUGAAUUCCAUUCCAUUCCAUUCCAUACCAACGGGAUUGAUUCCAUUCCAUUCCAUUAUAAUCCAUUCCAUUCCAUUCCAUACCACCCAGAUUGAUUCCAUUCCAUUCCAUUAUAAUCCAUUCCAUUCCAUUCCAUUCCAGUUGAUUCUAAUGCCUUUCACCCCAUUCCAUUCCACUGCAUUCCAUUCCAUUCCAUUCCACUCAGUUUGUUUCCAUUCCAUUCCAUUCCACUCGGGUUGAUUCCUUUCCAUUCCAUUCCAUUCCAUUUCAUUCCAUUCCAUUCCGUGCCUUUCCAUUCCAUUCCAUUCCAUUCCAUUCCACUCGGGUUCAUUCCAUUCCAUUCGUUUUCAUUCCAUUCCAUUCUAUUCCAUUCAUUUCCAUUCAAUUCCAUUCCACUCCACUCGGGUUGAUUCCAUUCCAUUCCAUUCCUUUCCAUUAAAUUCCAUUCCAUUCCAUUACAUUCCAGUUCAUUCCAUUACUUUCCCUUCCAUUCUGUUCCCUUCCAUUCCAUUCCAUUCCAUUCCAUGCCGUUGCAUUGGAAUCGGGUUGAUUCCAAUACAUUCCAUUACAUUCCAUUCCUUUCCAUUCCAUUACAUUCCACUCGGUUUGUUUCCAUUACAUUGAAUUCCAUUCCAU
rnacentral:lncRNA from 10 species